GUUAGAGUAAGCAGCAGAUCGGAACUUCUCGAUGCCACCGUUUGGACGGACGUCUUCAAUGCUGUAGCCGAGGGGAACUUCGUAUUGUAUGGAAGAAUUACUACUACUAGACUUCUUCUUGCCACCUUUCGUCUCCAUUACAACAUUCGCACUUCUCUAGAAACACACUACAAAUCUCACAUAUAAUUCUCUGAAUAUUAUCGAAGAAGAUGAUUCUAAUCUCCAGGAAAAGUUAGAGAAGAAAAGGGGCAGAAGUAAG
rnacentral:misc_RNA from 1 species